GGGCCUAUAGCUCAGGCGGUUAGAGCGCAUCGCUGAUAACGAUGAGGUCGGUGGUUCGAGUCCACCUAGGCCCACCA
rnacentral:tRNA from 6 species